ensembl:lncRNA
CCUGAGGUGGUGGUACCUGGGGUUCACCUAAUGUUUCUCCUCAAAGUGAAACCAGUGCGGGCGGUAGUCUCCGCGCGUGCGUUCGCUGCGGCCCGCGGGUCGCGUGGUCAGCUCGGAACCUGAGGGUGUGGGGGAAGGUCGGGGCGUCUGGGGAAGGGUCCUGACAGGCAGGGUGGAGGAGGAUCGCGGGGCGGGUCCGGGGGAGGGUCGCCAAGCGUUCCCGCAGGACUCGAGCCCGUGGCCAUGACCGCGCUCCGGGUUCCGCGGCGGCUGUGCUGGUUGGUGCUGGAUGAGAGGAGCUGCACGCGGCUGGGCGCGCGGGCUGCGCGGGGUCUGCCGGAGAUACCCUCCUGCACACUUUACGCGCCACAGCCGCUGGGACAUCUUGGCCUAUCUGGGACCUGGACAUCGAAGCCGUCCACCAGGACUACAAGCGGGCUCUCUCUGCACGAGGCUGCCUCCAUGGGACACCCGGACUGCGUGCGGUACCUGCUGGCCCGGGGGGCCGCCGUCGACUGCUUGGAAGGCCGACUGGGUCUUUUCCAAUGAGUCAGCUCUUCACAUCAGGUGGCCAGAGUAUUGGAGCUUCAUCCUCAGUCCUUCCAAUGAAUAUUAAGGGGUGAUUUCCUUUAGGAUUGACUGGUUUGAUCUCCUGACUGUCCAAGAGAUUCUCAAGAGUCUUCUCCAAGGGGGAGAAUGGAUACAUGUAUUAUAUCUAUAGCUGAGUCUCUUUACUGUUCACCUGAAACUAUCACAACAUUGUUAAUUGGCUAUACCCCAAUAAAAAAUAAAAAAUUAAAGAAACAAAAAAAUGAAACAGUGUUGGUAGUUAAUACCAAAGCAGUCCUGUUUAGUCAAAGGCAUGGUUUUUGCAGUAGUCAUGUAUGGAUGUGAGAGUUGGAC